GACGAACGCUGGCGGCGUGCUUAACACAUGCAAGUCGAACGGAAAGGCCUGCUUUCCCUUGUGGAUUGCGGGUACUCGAGUGGCGAACGGGUGAGUAACACGUGAGUGAUCUGCCCCCAACUUGGGUAUAAGCCUGGGAAACUGGGUCUAAUUCCCGAUAGGACUGCAGGGUGGUGCCUGUGGUGGAAAACGAUUUUCUAGUGGUUGGGGAUGAGCCCGCGGCCUAUCAGCUUGUUGGUGGGGUAAUGGACUACCAAGGCGGCGACGGGUAGCCGGCCUGGGAGGGUGGACGGCGACAUUGAGACUGAGAUACGGCCCAGACUCCUACGGGAGGCAGGAGUUGGGAAUAUUGCACAAUGGGCGGAAGCCUGAUGCAGCGACGCAGCGUGGGGGAUGACGGCCUUCGGGUUGUAAACUCCUUUCGACCGCGAGGAAGCCACCUGGUUGGAAGGGUGGUGACGGUAGUGGUAGAAGAAGCACCGGCUAACUACGUG
rnacentral:rRNA from 1 species